GUGCUCACUUCGGCAGCACAUAUACUAAAAUUGGAACGAUACAGAGAUUAGCAUGGCCCCUGCGCAAGGAUGACCUCCAUGCUAUCUCUCCGGUCCCUAAAUUU